rnacentral:tRNA from 4 species
GCGCCAUUAGCUCAGUUGGUAGAGCACCUGACUCUUAAUCAGGGUGUCUUGGGUUCGAGUCCCUGAUGGCGCACCA